UACAGAGGUCUCAAGCGUUGUUCGGGAUUCAUUGGGCGUAAAGGGUGCGUAGGCGGCGCGGUAAGUCGGGUGUGAAAUCUCGGAGCUUAACUCCGAAACUGCAUUCGAUACUGCCGUGCUUGAGGACUGGAGAGGAGACUGGAAUUUACGGUGUAGCGGUGAAAUGCGUAGAUAUCGUAAGGAAGACCAGUGGCGAAGGCGGGUCUCUGGACAGUUCCUGACGCUGAGGCACGAAGGUCAGGGGAGCAAAACGGG
rnacentral:rRNA from 1 species